UGAAGCUUACGAAGUGGCAUCCUAUAUCUGGGACAAUUUCUUAGGUGGCAGUUCAAGCUCUCGUCCAUUAGGCGAAGCCGUUUUAAAUGGUGUAGACUAUCAUAUCCACUCUGGAAAUCCAGAUAAUUUCUUGGAUGAUCUUGCUCGGGCACUGUCGGGAUACAACACACCAGAAAAUAAGCAGGUGUACUUAUCUGCUGGACCCGAAUGUGUUCUGCCUGACCCUUGGCUUGACGCUUCUAUCAGAACUGGCCUUUUUGAUUACGUGUGGGUGGAAUUUUUCGACAAUACAGCUUGUCAGUAUACCCCAGGCAAUCUCACUGCCCUCUUCCAGAGUUGGGACGCUUGGGCUUCGUAUCCAGGCGUUAAUGCACUAUUCCUGGGAAUUCCUGUAUCCCCAGAGGUCGCACCUGACGGCGGUUACAUCCCAUAUGAGGUGCUAGUUAGUGUGGUUCUUCCCUUUGUGGAGACCUAUUCCAACUUUGGAGGGAUCAUGCUUUGGCCCUACGUUCAUCAUCACCCACAUU
rnacentral:lncRNA from 1 species